GCCUAGGUAGCUCAGUCGGUAGAGCAGAGGACUGAAAAUCCUCGUGUCGGGGGUUCAAUUCCCUCCCUAGGCACCA
rnacentral:tRNA from 1 species